rnacentral:misc_RNA from 1 species
CGUGAAGAUCUCAUUCCCUGCAAACCAUGAAAUAAUUAAAUUCUUUGUCCAAUGGAGAACCAGGUAUAUGAUUCGCCUAUUUCAGUUUUAUAGAUCCCCAAACUAAGAAGGAGAAAGAGCUACACACAAAAGCAAAUAUUCAAAUCUCAAAAUCCAUGCAUGCUUGGAAAUAUAAAGGCAUUUAAUCAAACAAGUGGCGGUCAAAUCUUUUGAAAAUAAGAAGAAUGCAUGCUCCAGCGAACCAAGGAAUGACAUUAAUUUAAAUGACUAACGAUUAGAGAAAGGAGAAAAUAGCAGUAUAACAAUGCCAAUCAAGAUUCACUAUUUAACGAGCAAUCAUAGACAAUUAGAUAUUUGCAGAAAAGAGAUGCAACAAAAGUUUACUCUAGAGGAAGAAAAGACCGAGUGUUAAACCACACAGUCGAACUGACGCACGACAGCGAGCGAGCUAACGAACAAGGACGUUAAUUUGCCUCCGCGCCUGACCCGAAACGCCCGCGUUCUGUAUUCCUGAUCACUUGUCCGUUUAAGAGCGAAUGCGUUGUUACACCUUUCGAAUUUUUAUUUAGUACAACCGACACCGUUUCACCAAUAAUAUUGACCAGACAGAAGGUAUACAUUAUUGAAUAUUUGAAUACGUUUUUUAGAGCAGUUUACACUUGAAAACAAUAU